GUCUACAGUCAUGCCACCCUAAAUAUGCCCAAUCUCGUCUGAUCUCGGAAGCUAAGCAGAGUCAGGCCUGGUUAGUACUUGGAUGGGAAACCACCUAGGAAUACCAAAUGCUGUAAAUG
rnacentral:rRNA from 1 species